rnacentral:rRNA from 1 species
GCGACCCCAGGUCAGGCGGGACUACCCGCUGAAUUUAAGCAUAUCAAUAAGCGG